UACGUAUGGGGCAAGCGUUAUCCGGAUUUACUGGGUGUAAAGGGAGCGUAGGUGGUUUGGCAAGUCAGAUGUGAAAGCCCGGGGCUCAACCCCGGUAGUGCAUUUGAAACUAUCAUGCUAGAGUGCAGGAGAGGUAAGUGGAAUUCCUAGUGUAGCGGUGAAAUGCGUAGAUAUUAGGAGGAACACCAGUGGCGAAGGCGGCUUACUGGACUGUAACUGACGUUGAGGCUCGAAAGCGUGGGGAGCAAACAGG
rnacentral:rRNA from 1 species